rnacentral:piRNA from 1 species
UGGGAUGGCAUGGAUGUUCACGCAG